CCGGCUGGCGGCGUUGACGCUCUCAACCUUAAAUAUAGAAAAAAGAACGCGCUGCAGACCCAUCCUGCUCACUCCCUCGCAGGCUGGACUGCCGCGCCAGCCACAGCAGCAGCAGCAACUGAAAUGCGCUUCUCGGAGAGUGCGAAGACGCGUUGCUAGACAAUGCGCCAUUCGCAUACCCAUUCUCAUCAUCCCUGCGUUCCAGCUCCAGCUUGUCCUCAUAACUUUGUCAGAGCCAUUCUACUGGACCACCCCGUGCUCCUGUCGAUGUCGCCUUCCAAUUCCAGUCAUGUGCCUUUGCUGGAUUUGCGCUCUGAGGCUACCUUGGGGCGGUCCCCUGACUGGAUCCACUAUCCCCCACAAGCGCGCGCCCUUUGUUUCCCCACACAAUCCCAUGAAGCAGCUUUUGUUGUUGUAGCUUUUGGUAUUGCGCUGUGCACGGUUGAAGGAGUUCUAUGUCUUACGGUUCACGUUUCGUGGGGUAGGUUUCUUUUGUGUGCGCAGGGUCCGUGUGUGUGAGUUCCGAAACGGAAUGAAUGGUGUCAGAGGACAGAAAAGCACAGUAACUUCAUGAAAUAACGUGGUUGUCCGACGUUGGUCUGGUCAAUUGAACGCUGUCUUUGAACACAGCGUCUUGCUGCUGUCUGUUCAAUGUCAGUCCGCUCUUAAACCUGAGGAGGCUUGAUGCGUUCUUAAAGCUGUGAUCACGGGUCCUUCCCGACUCGACGCAUCGCGUUCUCCUUUUUCUCGGAUUUUGGAAUAAUUCCAACGUGUAUGAUGUCUGGACGCAGGGAGACGUGUCAAAGACGGGCUUCGAGUCUAGAAUUCUGAAUUCACCUGGCUUGGAACUAAACCUUAAUCACAAUUCUAGGCUUUUGGUAUUGGAGCGAGCAUGUGUUCCGUUUCCAUUUCAAGGUAUCUGAUGCUUUUCGCAGCAUAUGCCGAUAGGUAGGUGAGCACUGGCUGGUCUCAGGAGGUUACUAUCAGGCGAUGGAACGUGUAGGUAAUGAUUGGAAGGCUUCCUGACUGCUGAGAAGUCGAAAGGCUCCUGUGGUGCCCUCUGCGUCGAGAGGAAGCGCGCAUUUCUAUCUAAUGCAAUAUCAUGAUUGAAACAUAGCGAUAUUCCAGGCGGCAAACCUCUGGCAUCUCAAAGGCGUUAAACAUGUUUAUACAAAUCGUGCCGAAUAUUCUAUCCUUUGUCUGGCUCGACCCCUCUCAUGCAGACGUAGUUGUCAUCACAUAGACAACGAUCACGAAUAGAUCAUGUUACAUUGACAAGACUGGAGGACUAUCUCAGGUUUGAUAUUUGUAGAAUUUUCGAGGCUUGCACAAUCAGAUGCAUCAGAAGUACAAGGAUUUUAUUAUCUUUGAACAAGGUCUACAACAGAGUAUGGCCAGGCCCGAUUGCAUUCCUUGGGGACGGCUUAUGUUUCAGGGCCUGAUCUGGACAUCUGCCUAUCUGCUGGUGGGUGUCACUAUGGCCUGUCCACUUAUCCACAGAUUUGUGGGACUUUUUAACACAAGAGCAUAGUCAUUUUUCUAGUGCUGCAGCAGCGAUGGUGAUUUCUGACUCAAAAAUGGUGACUGCCAACCAGAGCUUCCCUCACAUUGAGUUCAGAUUAUAUGGUGGAAAAUCACAUGCCAGCACAAGGAGUAGAUGGAUGUAUUCUGGGCAAAGGCGAUCGGCAGGAACAAAAGACUAUUUUUUAGAUAAAGUUCUGCUUGGAAGGGGGACUUUUCGAGUGAUUUUAAAAUAAACUUGAGUCAAAAGGGUCUCGGCGAUUCGGUAAAUUUUUAGAGUGUCAUCAUUUGCUAGUGAUUUUGACUUGGUAAUAUGGGGUACAGGAGCCAAUUAUUCAUGAACAUAAACCAAGAUUUGGAGGGUAUCUACGACUAAGCUAUACCUCGAUUUGAUUCACCGUGCUCUCUUUGUUAGCUGCAUGGAGCUACUGCUGAUAGUGAGUACAUCAAACUUCAGGUGGCCACACAAAUUUUUAGCUUCCCCAUGUGCAAUUGAACCUGAUCCAGAUACGUCCCAAUUUAAUUUUUUUGAGUUUUUUGAGUUUUUACAUUUCACGUGGACAAUGUUGUUGAAAAAUGAGACAAAUCUAGCCAGUAACGUUGAGGUUUCAGCGGCAUUUAGACUUUCUGAUGUAAAAUUUCCUCCAUGCUUUGAAGUCACGAGCUAAUGAUACAUACAUAAGACGGAUUCAUGCGAUUGCCGGCUGUAUCUAAAUACCCGUUCUGUCAGUCUCAAAAACUUAACAGACGGUCAGUCAUGUUAUUCUAUACUUUUGUUAUAACAAGCUUCAGAAGGCAAGAAUUUGCACUGGCGUUGCACUGUUUGUGAAAGGUAAUAAGAACAGUAUUACACUGUUAAGUCAUGUUGUUCUCCUUUUCGUCGCCGGGCUGGUGGACUGCACAUAUGACCUCCGUGAGGUCAGUCAGUAUGGGCUUACUAUUUGCGCUUGAGGCAGCUCGAGCAGAACCACACCCAUGGGAUGCAGCUUGAUUGAUGGCACUUGCCCACAGAAAACGCGGAGACAAACCAAUUAUUUUGUAAUACAAUUGCAAUAGAGAAUAUAUUGGACUUUACGUGCAAGGGGGAAAGCAUGGGCAGUUGACCUAAGUGUCAUUCGAUAUCAACCGUCUACACUUAGUCAACCUUUUAGAUCACCACUUGUAUUGUUUACAUGCAAAAGUUGUGAAUUUGAGCACAAGAGAGGUAGUUGUGAAGAAUGCCCUUGACUAGUCGUUUACUUCAGGGCUGCUGCACUGCAUACAUGACCUUCUCCAGAAGAAUGUGACAGAGAGGGUCAACAUUGUCUUUGAAUAUCGCGACAGAAACCACGAAUUCUCGAAUCUUAUCAUGUGUUACAGCAAUAGAAACAAGAGUAGUUGUGCACAGAAAGAGAGCGCAGUCAAGCGGACGCUAGUGAGAAUCUUCCAUAUUCGCAACUGGAGAGACUUGCGUUGUCAGCUAGUUGACGAUUAUGUGGCUGUCAUCAACAUUCCAAAGACCAUCUUAAAGGGCCAAUAAAUUUGAAAGAAGGAUUUGUGCAUUUGUGCAAUUGUGUAA